rnacentral:lncRNA from 1 species
CCUCAUGAUUGGCCUUAGAAAAGAGGCUCCAGAGAGAUCACUAGGCCCUUCACCACGUGAGGACACUGCAAGAAGGUCCCAUCUAUGAACCAGGAAAAAGACUCUCACCAGAACGCCACCAUGCUGGUGACUUGAUCUUGGACUUCCAGACUCCAGAACGAUGCCAGAAAACCUGAGUAGUAAAUUCGCCCUGCCCACCUCCCGGAAUGGCUGCCAGGAUCAAACGGGAUAUUGCCUAAGAAAGCACUCUGUAAACGAUGUGGUGGCAGGAGCUGGACCAGUCACCUUGAACUCCAGCACAUGUGUUGAAGAUGGCAGAGUGGCUUUACUUUCCUUAUUCUGGCAACCUCUGGACCAUUACUUGAGAG